rnacentral:rRNA from 1 species
AUACGUAGGGGGCAAGCGUUGUCCGGAAUGACUGGGCGUAAAGGGCGCGUAGGCGGCCGAUUAAGUCUGGAGUGAAAGUCCUGCUUUCAAGGUGGGAAUUGCUUUGGAAACUGGUUGGCUUGAGUGCGGAAGAGGUAAGUGGAAUUCCCAGUGUAGCGGUGAAAUGCGUAGAUAUUGGGAGGAACACCAGUGGCGAAGGCGACUUACUGGGCCGUAACUGACGCUGAGGCGCGAAAGCGUGGGGAGC